rnacentral:rRNA from 1 species
UACGUAGGGCGCAAGCGUUAUUCGGAAUUAUUGGGCGUAAAGAGCUCGUAGGCGGUUUGUCGCGUCUGCUGUGAAAGACCGGGGCUCAACUCCGGUUCUGCAGUGGGUACGGGCAGACUAGAGUGAUGUAGGGGAGACUGGAAUUCCUGGUGUAGCGGUGAAAUGCGCAGAUAUCAGGAGGAACACCGAUGGCGAAGGCAGGUCUCUGGGCAUUAACUGACGCUGAGGAGCGAAAGCAUGGGGAGCGAACAGG